AAGGUGGUAAUCCUUGGGCAGAAGGUAAAAUAUGUUCGAAAAGCUCACGUAUUUCCUUGUGUAUGUAAUCCUUGGUGGUUAGAAGUAAUUAUGGUUUUAUUUUUGCAGGAACCUUAUGCAGUUAAGAAUAGAGCUAUGGAAUUGGCCUAUUAGCCUAUUCGGUUCCCAAAGGGAGGAAACUUCCCUCGGAAUUAGAGAACAUCUUAAUUGAAGUUUCCAAUCGGAAUUAGAGAACAUCUUAAUUGAAGUUUCCAAUGAUAUAGGCUGUCCAUUUCCAUCCCAUGAUAAUCUUAAAAAGUGGGCCCUGCAAGUGAAUUUUCUAUUUUGAAGACUUUACCUUGCCACUUUUUUUUCAGGGGUACUUUUGUUAAGCUUUGCUCUUAC
rnacentral:lncRNA from 1 species